rnacentral:rRNA from 1 species
GACGAACGCUGGCGGCGUGCCUAAUACAUGCAAGUCGAGCGAAUCUUUGGGAGCUUGCUCCCAAAGGUUAGCGGCGGACGGGUGAGUAACACGUGGGCAACCUACCUGUAAGACUGGGAUAACUUCGGGAAACCGGAGCUAAUACCGGAUAACUCUUACCAACACAUGUUGGUAAGCUAAAAGACGGUUUACGCUGUCACUUACAGAUGGGCCCGCGGCGCAUUAGCUAGUUGGUGAGGUAACGGCUCACCAAGGCAACGAUGCGUAGCCGACCUGAGAGGGUGAUCGGCCACACUGGGACUGAGACACGGCCCAGACUCCUACGGGUGGCUG